rnacentral:misc_RNA from 1 species
AAAGUCGUAACAAGGUAUCCGUAGGUGAACCUGCGGAUGGAUCAUUAUCACGUUAUCCACGUAUCAACCAUUGUGAACUGUACCCUUACCUUUUUUUGAACAGAUUUUUGGAAAGAUAAUUAAGGAGGAUUAAGUUCUUUCUUGAUUGUUUUUUUUUGGAAUUCUGAACAAAAAAUUGUAUUAUUAAUUUAAUUAUUAACCUUUUAAACCAUUUAUUUCAAUUAACAAUUGAACUGAAUCAUUUCUUACUCUUAGGAGAAGAAAUAAAUCUUACGAAACAUAAGAACAACUCUUAGCAACGGAUAUCUUGGUUCUC